rnacentral:rRNA from 1 species
GUAUAAGCAAUUAUACGGCGAAACUGCGAAUGGCUCAUUAUAUAAGUUAUCGUUUAUUUGAUAGUACCUUACUACUUGGAUAACCGUGGUAAUUCUAGAGCUAAUACAUGCUAAAAACCCCGACUUCGGAAGGGGUGUAUUUAUUAGAUUAAAAACCAAUGCCCUUCGGGGCUCCUUGGUGAUUCAUGAUAACUUCUCGAAUCGCAUGGCCUUGCGCCGGCGAUGGUUCAUUCAAAUUUCUUCCCUAUCAACUUUCGAUGUUUGGGUAUUGGCCAAACAUGGUUGCAACGGGUAACGGAGGGUUAGGGCUCGACCCCGGAGAAGGAGCCUGAGAAACGGCUACUACAUCCAAGGAAGGCAGCAGGCGCGCAAAUUACCCAAUCCCGACUCGGGGAGGUAGUGACAAUAAAUACUGAUACAGGGCUCUUUAGGGUCUUGUAAUUGGAAUGAGUACAAUUUAAAUCCCUUAACGAGGAACAAUUGGAGGGCAAGUCUGGUGCCAGCAGCCGCGGUAAUUCCAGCUCCAAUAGCGUAUAUUAAAGUUGUUGUGGUUAAAAAGCUCGUAGUUGAACCUUGGCCUCGGCCGGCCGGUCCGCCUCACCGCGUGCACUGGCUCGGCCGGGGCUUUCCCUCUGUGGAACCCCAUGCCCUUCACUGGGCGUGGCGGGGAAACAGGACUUUUACUUUGAAAAAAUUAGAGUGCUUCAGGCAGGCCUAUGCUCGAAUACAUUAGCAUGGAAUAAUAAAAUAGGACGUGCGGUUCUAUUUUGUUGGUUUCUAGGACCGCCGUAAUGAUUAAUAGGGACAGUCGGGGGCAUCAGUAUUCAAUUGUCAGAGGUGAAAUUCUUGGAUUUAUUGAAGACUAACUACUGCGAAAGCAUUUGCCAAGGAUGUUUUCAUUAAUC